AUUGAACGCUGGCGGCAGGCCUAACACAUGCAAGUCGAACGAGUGGCGGACGGGUGAGUUAUGUCUGGGAAACUGCCUGAUGGUGGGGGAUAACUACUGGAAACGGUAGCUAAUACCGCAUACCAUCAGAUGUGCCCAGAUGGGCUUAGCUAGUUGGUGGGGUAACGGCUCACCAAGGCGACGAUCCCUAGCUGGUCUGAGCGGAUGACCAGCCGCACGGGAACUGAGACACGGUCCAGACUCCUACGGGAGGCAGCAGUGGGGAAUAUUGCGCAAUGGGCGCAAGCCGGAUGCAGCCAUGGCGCGUGUAUGGAGAAGGCGUUCGGGUUGUAAAGUUCUUUCAGCGGGGAGGCGUUACCCGCAGAAGAAGCACCGGCUAACUCCGUGCCAGCCGCCGCGGUAAUUC
rnacentral:rRNA from 1 species